GAGCCGGCGCUCCAGGGACAAGACUGCCCGGAGACAGACCCAGCAGAAUCUGGAACGCUAGAGGGAAAAAGUCACACACCCCCGGUUUCGGCGAUUCGUCACAACAAGCGCCAAAAAAGCCGAGACUCCGCACCGGCGAAAAACGGCACAGACGACCACAUAAAUCUAGAGCUGGGGGAUU